GCCAGUAUGGCUCAAUGGUAGAGCAUUGGCAAGCAUACCAAAGGGUCUUGGGUUCAAUUCCCAGUCAAGGGCA
rfam:Myotis brandtii contig239630, whole genome shotgun sequence.